GACGAACGCUGGCGGCGUGCUUAACACAUGCAAGUCGAACGGAAAGGCCCUGCUUUUGUGGGGUGCUCGAGUGGCGAACGGGUGAGUAACACGUGAGUAACCUGCCCUUGACUUUGGGAUAACUUCAGGAAACUGGGGCUAAUACCGGAUAGGAGCUCCUGCUGCAUGGUGGGGGUUGGAAAGUUUCGGCGGUUGGGGAUGGACUCGCGGCUUAUCAGCUUGUUGGUGGGGUAGUGGCUUACCAAGGCUUUGACGGGUAGCCGGCCUGAGAGGGUGACCGGCCACAUUGGGACUGAGAUACGGCCCAGACUCCUACGGGAGGAAGAAGUGGGGAAUAUUGCAAAAUGGGCGGAAGCCUGAUGCAGCAACGCCGCGUGCGGGAUGACGGCCUUCGGGUUGUAAACCGCUUUCGCCUGUGACGAAGCGUGAGUGACGGUAAUGGGUAAAGAAGCACCGGCUAACUACGUG
rnacentral:rRNA from 1 species